UAAUCGAACGAAUCGCAUGCUUCGGCGGCGAUGAUUCAUUCAAGUUUCUGACCUAUCAGCUUCCGACGGUAGGGUAUUGGCCUACCGUGGCAAUGACGGGUAACGGAGAAUUAGGGUUUGAUUCCGGAGAGGGAGCCUGAGAAACGGCUACCACAUCUAAGGAAGGCAGCAGGCGCGCAAAUUACCCAAUGCAGACACUGUGAGGUAGUGACGAGAAAUAAUAAAGUGGGGCUUCAGUCUCGCUAUUAUAAUGAGGAAUAACUAAAUGUCAUUCCUAUUAGCAACUGAUGGGAAAGUCUGGUGCCAGCAGCCGCGGUAAUACCAGCUUCAGUAGCAUAUAUUAAAAUUGUUGCAGUUAAAACGUCCGUAGUCUGUACGUCGUCCGAGGCUUUACUACAUCUCUGUAUGUUCUUAAUUGAGCGUAUAGCUGUUUGUAGUUACUCCCUUGAUCAAAAUAGAAUGUUCAAGGUAGACCAAGUCUUCAUAUUUUCACAUGGAAUUGGGUGAGGGAACUUAAGAGGUUAAGUUUCUCGUCUUAGGAUCAUCUGGGGUCAUUCGUACUCGUCCGCGAGAGGUGAAAUUCUUGGACCGGACGAAGACGAUCAGCAGCGAAAGCAUCUGUCAGGGAUGUUUUCUGCGACAAAGGACGAAGGUCAGGGUAUCGAAGACGAUUAGAUACCGUCGUAGUCCUGACUGUAAACUAUGCCGACUUGGGUCUUGCAGAGUCAAUACUUUGUGAGACCCACACAGAAAUGAAAGUGUAUGGGUUCUGGGGGUAGUAUGGACACAAGUCUGAAACUUGAAGGAAUUGACGGAAGAGCACCAUAAGACGUGGAGCUUGCGGCUUAAUUUGACUCAACGCGGGAAAACUUACCAGGUCAAGACAUGGGCGUGAUUGACAGGCUAAUGACCUUUCUCGAUUCCUUGGAUGGUGGUGCAUGGUCGCACUUAGUUGGUGCAGUGAUUUGUCAGGUUUAUUCCGGUAACGAACGAGACCUCGGCCUUGUAAAUAGUUUACUGCUUACAGGGACAAUGUCGGCUACGUCAAGGAAGUUCGAGGCAAUUGCAGAUCUGGAAUGCCCUUAGAUGUCCUGGGUCGCACGCGUGCUACAAUGACGCCACGAGCGAGUUAGCGUGAUGAAAGUCACGCUAAAUCAUAAAUCGUCGUCUUAAGGGACAGUCUCUUGUAACUGUGGGACUCUAACUAGGAAUGUCUCGUAAGCACAAGUCAACAUCUUGUGUUGAUUACGUCCCUGCUCUUUGUACACACCGCCCGUCGCUCCUACCGAUUGAGUGUUUAGAUGAAAUUGAUGGACUUAGGGAAGUUAAUUAAAUCUGAUCACUUAGAGGAAGGAGAAGUCGUAACAAGGUUUCCGUAGGUGAACCUGCGGAAG
rnacentral:rRNA from 1 species